CCCUAGCCUGCCGGCCUUCCCACCCGACCUCUUUUCUGUUCGUCCCCCCUCCCCCUAUCGCAUCGUCUUCUUCUCGCCUACUGGCUCCUUGCCUCCUCUGCCCCCGUCCUUCUCUUCCCUCCGCCGCGUUCUCCCUUCCUCCUCUUACCCCGUAUCCGCAUCACGCGCCUCGCCGCCCUGUCGGUGCCUUACAAGCCGGUCCACCGUCAGAGGAGGAGGAUUCGUGGAGGACAGGAUGGAGGUGGGUGAGAUGGACGACGUGCAGGCGGUGGGAGAGCAGGUCAUCAGCAGCAGGGGCGGCUCCGUGCUCGGGAAGAAGACCAUCCUCAAAAGUGAUCACUUCCCCGGCUGCCAGAACAAGCGCCUCACCCCGCACAUCGACGGCGCGCCCAAUUACCGGCAGGCAGGAUCACUGCGUGUUCACGGUGUUGCAAUGCCGACAAUGGAAGGAAUUGUGAAUGUGCUAAAUCAUAUUGGGGCACAAAAGAAGGGAAAGCAAACCCGAGUUCUAUGGCAUAGUCUUCGAGAGGAACCAGUUAUCUAUAUCAAUGGUCGCCCUUUUGUUCUACGAGAUGCCGAAAGACCCUUCUCAAACCUUGAAUAUACGGGAAUCAACCGGGAGAGAGUCGAGCAGAUGGAGUUUCGUUUGAAAGAAGAUAUUCUUCAGGAAGCUUCAAGAUAUGGGAAUAAGAUCCUAGUUACUGAUGAGCUGCCGAAUGGUCAGAUGGUGGACCAGUGGGAGUCAGUGAUGUCUGAUACAGUUAAGACUCCACUUGAGGUCUAUGAGGAGUUACAACAUCAAGGAUACCUUGUUGAUUACGAGCGUGUUCCUAUAACUGAUGAAAAAGCUCCGAAAGAAGGGGAUUUUGAUAACCUGGUACAUCGAAUCUCUCAAGUUGAUAUGGAGACUGAAAUUGUAUUCAAUUGUCAAAUGGGGAGGGGACGGACUACUACCGGCAUGGUCAUAUCUACGUUAGUUUACCUAAAUCGGAUAGGAGCUUCAGGUAUCCCAAGGACAAGUUCAAUUGGGAAGGUUUUCUAUGCUGGAAAUGAUGUAGAUGACUACAGUCCUAGCUCAGAAGAAGCAAUUCUCAGAGGAGAAUAUGCUGUCAUUAGGAGCUUAGUCCGAGUUCUGGAGGGUGGUGUUGAAGGCAAAAGACAAGUGGACAAAGUUAUUGAUAAAUGUGACUCUAUGCAGAACCUGAGAGAAGCUAUUGCGACCUACCGCAAUAGCACUCUUCGGCAACCUGAUGAGAUGAAACGGGAGGCAUCACUUUCCUUCUUUGUGGAGUACUUGGAACGUUAUUACUUCCUCAUAUGUUUUGCUGUCUAUGUACAUUCGGUGAGCUCUGCUCACCAAGCAACAUCUUCAGGAGUUCAUUUUUCUGACUGGAUGAGAGCAAGACCUGAACUGUACAGUAUUCUUCGAAGGCUGCUGAGGAGAGAUCCAAUGGGCGCUCUUGGUUAUUCAAGCUCAAAACCCACUCUUCCAAAAAUUAUUGAAUCUGCUGACGGGCGCCCACAUGAGAUGGAUGUUGUUGCUGCCAUGAGGAAUGGAGAAGUUCUUGGACGUCAAACUGUUUUAAAAAGUGAUCACUGUCCAGGGUGUCACAAUCUUAAUUUGCCUGAAAGAGUUGACGGUGCACCUAAUUUCCGGGAAAUUCCGGGGUUUUCAGUCUAUGGUGUUGCAAAUCCUACUGUUGAUGGCAUUCGGGCUGUUAUUCAGCGAGUUAGUACAAGCAAGGGAAACCGGCCGAUACUCUGGCAUAAUAUGAGAGAAGAGCCCGUCAUUUAUAUACAUGGAAAGCCUUUUGUGCUACGAGAAGUAGAAAGACCGUACAAGAAUAUGCUGGAGUACACGGGGAUUGGUCGUGAUAGAGUUGAGCGUAUGGAAGCUCGGUUGAAGGAGGAUAUUUUACGAGAAGCAGAACGGUAUGAUGGGGCAAUAAUGGUUAUUCAUGAAACCGACAAUGGUGAGAUCUUUGAUGCAUGGGAAAAUGUCAAUAAUGAAGCUGUUCUGACUCCACUGGAGGUAUACAAAUGUUUGGACUCUGAAGGCCUUCCAAUCAAAUAUGCACGAGUGCCCAUUACCGAUGGUAAGGCCCCCAAAAGUUCAGAUUUUGAUACGGUAGCCUUUAAUGUCGCAGCUGCUUGCAAGGAUGCUGCUCUUGUAUUCAACUGCCAGAUGGGCAGGGGCAGAACAACUACUGGUACUGUGAUUGCUUGCCUGCUCAGACUUCGAAUCAAUCACGGCAGACCUAUUGGAAUGCCAGCCAUCCAAAAUAAUCAUGAAGAUACAACUGAUGCCGAUUACUCAAGCGGAGAAGAAACAAUGGACCACAAUGGUCACUUGAAUUCAGAAUCAUGGAAACCUCACACUUUGACAGAGCUACACCCUAGAUUUGACAUUAAUGACAUCCUUCUGUUGCGAAAGAUUACAAGGCUAUUUGACAAUGGGAUUGAGUGUAGACAGAUUUUAGAUACUGUUAUUGACAAGUGUUCAGCUUUGCAGAACAUUCGCCAAGCUGUUUUGCAAUACACAAAGGUGAUUAAUCAACAAAAUCUGGAGCCAAGAGUUAGGAGAGUCGCAUUAAAUCGUGGUGCUGAAUAUUUGGAGAGGUACCUGAAAUUAAUUGCAUUCUCAGCAUACCUCGGGAGUGAAGCAUUUGAUGGUUUCUGCGGGCAAGGAGAAACAAAGAUCUCAUUUAAAAAUUGGCUGCAACAGCGUCCGGAGAUCCAAACCAUGAAAUGGAGCAUAAGACUGCGACCUGGGCGUUUUUUCACUGUACCUGAUGAGCAUAAAGCAACAUGUCAACCUCUGCAAAGUGAUGUAACGAUGGAGGCCAUCGUGAAAGCCCGUAAUGGUUCUGUUCUGGGAAAGGGAUCCAUACUCAAAAUGUAUUUCUUUCCUGGGCAGAGAAGGUCAAGCAGCAUGAACUUCCGUGGUACACCACAUGUUAUCAAGGUGGAUGGAUACCCUGUGUAUAGCAUGGCAACACCAACUGUUGAUGGAGCUAGAGAAGUUCUGUCGUAUUUGGGCUGUAAGGAUACAACUGGAAGAGACAUUAUUCAGAAGGUGGUCAUCAUGGAUCUUAGGGAGGAAGUGGUAGUUUACAUCAAGGGAACACCGUUUGUUUUGAGAGAGUUAGAUCAACCUGUUGAUACACUGAAGCAUGUGGGCAUAAGUGGCCCAAUGGUAGAGAACAUAGAGGCAAGGCUGAAGGAGGAUAUACUUUCUGAAGUUAAACAGCUAGAAGGUCGGCUGCUUCUGCAUCAAGAAGAAUUUAACACAGCCACAAAUCAAUGCAGUGUAUUAGGUUAUUGGGAGCACAUAGAUCUGGAGGACGUAAUGACACCGGCUGAAGUGUACAGCACAUUGAGGGAUCAGGGGUAUUGUAUUGACUACAAAAGGAUACCUCUGACCAGGGAAAGAGAAGCAUUAGCUGCUGAUGUUGAUUCAAUACAAUCAUCAAUCAAUGAAUCUUCUAGGUACUAUCUCUUUGUUUCACACACGGGAUAUGGUGGUGUUGCUUAUGCAAUGGCCAUUACAUGCCUGAGACUUGGUGCAGAUGCAAAGUUUGUCAUGGAACAAACAGCAGAAACACACUUCGUAUCAAGUUCUCUUACAAAAAGUGUACCUGUGAAAACCUUCACUGACAUAGCCCUCAGGCAGGGGGACUACCGUGACAUACUAAACCUUACUAGAGCACUGAUACAUGGUCCUAAAAGCAAAGAAGAGGUUGACAAAGUUAUUGACAGAUGUGUUGGUGCUGGGGAUUUGCGGGAGGAUAUUUUGCAAUACAGGAAGGCAUUGCGAGAUUGUUCACAUGAUGAUGAUGAUGAUGAGGCACGGUCAUAUCUCAUGGAUAUGGGGACUAAAGCUUUGAGGCAAAAAUGGUCCAUACAACAAUGAAGCAACUAAUUUUAGAAAUGCCACUGAGAACACCCAAUUGACUGCCAUGUGAAACAGCGGUUGUUUACAAUUUGCAACAUAUCACUGGCAAGAUCAAGGAGGUUCUAUUCAGGUACAAAUGAUCAUUUAUGUUAGAAAAGGUACAAAUGAUUUUUCUUCUAAGAAUUAGUACAAGAAAUCAUUUUCCUUCAAAAGAGAGAUUUUUUUUCAAAACUAUCACGUUAUUUGAAGCAAAUUCGGAAACUACAGCAUACUUUGGAGAAAUAUCAAGUCUAGCACCCUGUCGGCCAGGUGUUGGCCAAAAAGGGUGUUUUCGGCCACCUCUAGGCCGAAAUAGGGUUUUCGGCCAUGCCUUGGCCGAAAAGGUGCAAAGCUGGCCGAAGAGGGGUGUUUUCGGCCACCCUUUGGCCGAAAAGGACUUUUUGGCCUAGUGUAGGCCGAAAAGUACUUGUUGGUCAAUCGUAGGCCGAAAAGUACUUUUUGGUCAAGUUUAGACCGAAAAGUCCCUUGGACCACCUUUUUCCGUUAACUGUUGGCCAAUGUAUUUUCCCGCCAACCCCUUCGUUGAUGCAACCCUCUUGCCCUUCGAUGAUGUGGUCCUUUUGCCAUCCGUCGAUGCAGAACUAUUGCCCUUCGAGGAUGCAGAAGUCUUGCCCAACAGAUAACGGAAAGGUAGGCCCAAGGGACUUUUCGGCCUACACUAGACCAAAAAGUACUUUUCGGCCUAGUGUAGACCAAAAAGUACUUUUCGGCCUACAUUUGACCAAAAAGACCUUUUGGGCCAAACAGCAGCCGAAAACAGCCAUUUCGGCCAGCUCAAUCACUUUUCGGCCAUGGCAAGGCCGAAAACCCUACUUCGGCCAACAGUUGGCCGAAAACUACCUUUUCGGUCUGCACGUGGCCGACAGGGUCAUAGUUUUGCAAUUUUUUCAUUAUGUGUUAUAGUUUCCGAAAUUGCUACAAAAUACGUCAUAGUUUUGAAAAAAAAUCCAAAAGAGAACCAUUGAAUUGAUGAUUUAUUUUGUUUGUAAAUGACACUGUUGCGGUUAGUGAUACACCAAUACACUAUACAAGGGCUUGCACUUUAGAGUGGAAUAUAUUUUUGAAUUUGCCGCCACGCGGUGCUCCUAUGUGCCAAGAGUAUUGCCAUUAGAUAUCCACUAGCAACAUUUUAUCUUCUAUACUAAUUGGGCUAGUGGCAACAAGCUGAGUUGACUAUCCAUGGCUGGAGUCACCUGACGCGUUUGGCAUUAGAAAAAUGUUUUGGUGCUACUUUUGGAAUAAUGCAAGUGAUCAUUUGCACUCAUGCCAAACCUUACGGCCUUGAGAGUGAAGAGAACUCGUUUUGAAGGCAAGAGUGAGCGCAUGAGACCAAACCUUACCCUCCCUCCCACAUUGGCCACUCUGUUGGAUGUCCACCUCCCGCCGACCGCCACUUUGGCCCUGAGGGUCACUCCCCUUCCCAACCCCCACUUCCGAGCUCCCCUUUCUGUAACCAUGGACCACUUGUCCAGCGGUAGCCCUGAACAGCAACACGUCCGUGAGGAUCGUUGGGGCGGCAGCUUGGACUCGUCUAAUGAAGAUUCGCGGCGCUCGUAGCACGGUGUCGUUAAUGGGAAGGCCAUGGCGGUGGAGGUUGCCGAGUCUCAGUGUGUGUGUUAGGGCCCUCGCUCGGAGGGUCACGUGGUGGACUCUGACAAUGGCUUUGAUGAGUUGGAUGACCCAAACGAGGAUGAAGACAUGGGUGUGGAGCAGCCCAAGAGCAAGCGUUGAGAUGGUGGUCGUCGCGGUAGCAAGCGCAGGUUGGCGGUGACAGGUGAAGGUCGCCACCCCGCCUUUGAUAGACCGUGCCUGCUCUAUAUGGACCCUAACCACUGCAUCGCCGACUGUACGACAGAGCCGACAUGGCAGUUUUUCGGCUCACCGGCUGGUGUCUGCACGCAACUAGGAUCACCAGGGAGGACUUCUUCAUGGUGCAAUCGGAUGAUCCGUCAUUGUCACAACAUUGGCAGGCUGUUUGAGCUCGUCAUGCCGCUGAACGUCAAGACCCAUGUCUCGCUGUUUAUCCAUGUGGCCCUGAUGGUUGAUUACCAUUGUUCGCCCAUGCGGUCAGACUUUGGUUGGUCACGAGGUGCUUCAAGUACACGCUAGGGAGACUAGAUUCGCUAUCGUCGACCUGCGGCGGUGUUGCCUUCGCUCCGGGCACCUCUAAUGAUUGAUUAGGCUAGUCCUGCUUGAGAUAGGUGGCGUCAUGGAAGAUGUGGCCACCUCCGCCAAUGGAAGACUAUAGGAGCAUGGAUGAUUUGCAUGCUUUGUUCGACAAGGCCGAGUAGGAGGGUCUCCUAUCUCAUCUGGGUUAUUGCGUCCUGAGAGACUAUCUUUAUAUGUUGAUGAUGUGAUUGUGCUCAUCCAGGCUUGUACGGACGAGGCUUAUGCCGUUAAUUACCUUCUUGAUAUGUUUGGUAGGGCCUCUGGCCUCCGAUGUAAUAUGAGCAACAGUUCUUUGUCUCCCAUCGUGCCGAGGAAAUUAGUGACAUCAUGUGUUGCAAAAUCUGCCCUCUGCUCGUCAAGUAUCUUGGUCUCCCGUUGAGUCUCAAGAAAGUAUGUAAGGAAGAACUCCAGAAGUUAAUUGAUAUUAUCAGGAACAAAUUGGUAGCACGGCAGACGGGUUUUCUCAUCCAGGGUGGUUGUUGCUAAUGAGUAAUUGAGUAUUGGUACUAGUCUAGAAGUCCUUAUCAUGCUAUGUUUCUUUGUACCCCAAGUCUUGCGUACUAUAUAUUUGCCCCUUGGGCUAUGCAGUAGAGAUGAGUUGCAUCCAUAACAUUGUAUUGGAGCCUAGGUAUUUCUUUUAGCACAGCAACUCAUGCUUCCCCUAUCCAAUCUUGCACCGCCGUUGCUUUCUAUUCCUCGGCUGUCUCUGCUUUUCUCUACUCGCACGUUCGCGUUUUGCUCAUCUCCUCUGAGCAACCGCCAUGUUUGGUCAACAGCCGUUGCUCCUGUCUGCUCGUAAUGACGGAUUGUGCUGCGCCCCACUGAUUUCCCACCGGAUCCGGCUGUCGUGAAGGUUGUCGCUGCUGGUCAACUCUACCACGCCGGAUCCCGCCGCCCUGAAGGUUGCCGCUGCCCCAGUCAACUCUGCCAUGCCGGAUCCCGUCGCCUAGAAGGUCGCCGCCGCCCCAGUCAACUCUCCCAUGCCAGAUCCACCGCCCCGAAGGUCGCCGCUGCCCCACCGCUCCAUUCAACUCUGCGUCGCCGGAUUUUGCUUGGAUCCCUCCCGAUUUCCGCCCGUGUACACCGUCCCCUGCCAGAUCCCGCCCGUCCGCCGUCACUUGCUAGAUGCCCGUUGACUCGGCUGGGUCUCGUUCGGCUGGAUCAGACCUUCUCGCUUGGGUCGCUGCUUCCUCUCAUUAGUUUGGGCUGAACCGAUUGCUUGGUGUUUAAAGAAAAGAUUAUAUAAAAAAGCAGUUUCUGGUGAGGUCUCCGGUCCGCCGCAUCCAGUUCUUCCUGUGGCUCCUACUCCGCCAACAUCACAGGCUAUUGCUGCGGAUGCUCCUCAAGCUGCUAAGGACGCUGCUAAGCUUGCUGAUGAGACUGCGGAUCAUGCUUAUGAGCAGCAGGUUUUGGCCUCGCUACCGUCUUCGAGAUGUGGAAAUGUUUUUGCCAGCGCUAGCAGCCCUUUGGUGAUGCGUUAUACCUGUUUGUGGUUUGCCAGGAGCAUGCUCUUCAGCAGGGUGACUCCAUUGUUGAUGAUUCCUACGCAUAGAGUUCUGCUAUCUAGCGCCGGCUUGACUCUCUUCACUGCUGGUUGUCCUACUUGCCAGUGUUGCCAGGCUGUGUGGCCAGACUUGGAGUUUCAUCGUGUCUACGAGUUCUUGUCUCAACUUCAUAAGGAGUUUGAGCCAUGGCGGUGGCAUGCUGAGUUGUUUGCUCGUGGCUGUAUUUCAUGAGAUACGGGCGGAGGAGACUCGCCUUUGUGGGGCAGGUUUACUUGAUGUUCCCUCUGUGCUUGAGCUCUUUCUACGCCGUCUGCUAUACCGUUGUUUUUCCGCUCCAGUGCUCCGCCACUCCACUCUUGGUGGCGAGGAUCGCUCUCGUACUCAUUGUGGCUACUACGGGGAUGGUCACCUCGAGCCUGAUUGGUUCUUGAAGAAGCGACAUCUACGCCAGGCACGCAUAACAACUUCAGAGAUUUGUCCUUGACUCAGCAGGAUAUUGUGCGACUUAAGCGUCUGGUUGCAACUUCGGGUUCUAAAUCAAUAGAUUAAAUCGGUCUUGCUGCUGACUCUUCUAGCUCAGAGAGACCACCCUCUUCACAGUUAGGAGCACAACACAAGAGCUCUGCUUGGUUUUGGCCUUCGUCUCUAUGAUUUUUCUUUCACGCCAUCGCAUCUAUAGUCUAGUAUGUGCUAUCUAGUUUUCUAUAAUUUCGCUGCGUCCACCAAGUCUGUUGCUCUUUUUCGUGUUUCUCAUGUCAUGCGAGUCCACGAUACCUUUAUCCGUCAGCCUUUUGUCCUUGUCCUUUCUAUAGGAUUUUUGUGGCCUCCUUUUGGAUUGUCGAUCUACACCCAUUCUCUUGCCGCCGAGCUUCUUUCGCCGCCGGUUUUCUUGGGCUAUGAGUUUUUGCACAAUGUUUCAUUCUCUUGAUGUACCAUUUUCUUUUGACAACCCAUCUUCUCUUGUAUCUUCUACCGAUGCGGUGUCUUCCUCUGAUGCGGCAUCUUCUUUGUUAUUUAUCCCCUUUGGCUUGACUCAACAGGUUAUUAAGACUCUAAAUGCUAUGACAAAACUGUCAGGACAUAGUUUAAGGAGUAUUAGUAUUGUCUAGGAGUCCUUAUUAGGCUAUGUUUCCUUCUUUGUACCCCAAGUCUUGUGUACUAUAUACUCCCUCCGUUCCUAAAUAUAAGUCUUUUAGAGAUUUCAAUAAGAACUACAUAUGGGUGUAUAUAGACAUAUUUUAGAGUGUAGAUCCUCUCAUUUUGCUCCGUAUGUAUGUCAGUACUAGCGCACUUACAGCAGUCAUCAAGCAAAGGACAAGGAAGAUCAGCGCCAAGAAGAAAGUAGAGAAAAUGAGCAUGUGAUUCAAAUCGAGUGUUGGGCUGAAAGGGUAGCGUGUGUAAGUGUGGGCCAUGGGCCGGCCCAGUCAUGUAAGUGAGUCGUGCGUAUAUAAGCAAUGGUCGACUACUGUAGCAAGGCAUCGAUGAUAUAAAAUUUAUUCUGAA